rnacentral:rRNA from 1 species
CGCCAUCGAAUGAGGCAAGACUACCCGCUGAACUUAAGCAUAUCACUAAGCGGAGGAGAAGAAACUAACCAGGAUGCCCCUAGUAAUGGCGAAUGAAGCGGGCUGAGCUCACGCUGCCAAUCUGGAGGCCUCGCGUAUGCAGCGCCCCCCGAAUUGUGGUCUAGAGAGGCGUUAUCGGCCGCGCCCGCCGCUCAAGUCCCUUGGAACAGGGUGUCGGAGAGGGUGAGAAUCCCGUACCGUGGCGGGUUGCGCCCUUACGAUGCGUCCUCGUCGAGUCGGGUUGCUUGGGAUUGCAGCUUGAAUUGGGUGGUAAAUUCCAUCUAAAGCUAAAUACUGGCGAGAGACCGAUAGCGAACAAGUACCGUGAGGGAAAGAUGCAAAGAACUUUGAAAAGAGAGUCAAAGAGUGCUUGAAAUCGGUAGGAGGAAACCCGGAUGGGCCCGGCUUCGGCGCGCCGACUCAGCCUGGGGUUCUCCCCAGGUGCACUUCUGCGCGCCGGGUCAGCCGCGCCUCGGCGCCGCGCCUCAACCCGGGAGCGGGGCUUUACGGCCAGCUCCCGUCCUGGCGCGGCCCGGGGCCCGGCUGACGGAACGGGCCCCUCCGACCCGUCUAGAAACACGGACCAAGGAGUCUGACACGUGUGCGAGUACCCGGGUGGCAAGCCCGCGUGCGGAAUGAAAGUGAAGGGCAUGCCCUGCCAACCGACCUUGACCUGCUGUGAGGGGUUUGAGUGGAGCACACCUGUCGGGACCCGAAAGAUGGUGAACUAUGCCUGGGUAGGGUGAAGCCAGAGGAAACUCUGGUGGAGGCUCGUAGCGAUACUGACGUGCAAAUCGUUCGUCGAAUCUGGGCAUAGGGGCGAAAGACUAAUCGAACCAUCUAGUAGCUGGUUCCCUCCGAAGUUUCCCUCAGGAUAGCUUGAACGCAACGGUUUUGUCAGGUAAAGCGAAUGAUUAGAGGCCUGUGGGCUGAAACAGCUUGCACCUAUUCUCAAACUUUAAAUGGGCAAGAGGCCCGGGAUGCUUGAGUGAUCCCGGGCGGCGAACGGCGCGUUCAAAGUGGGCCAUUUUUGGUAAGCAGAACUGGCGAUGCGGGAUGAACCGAACGCCGCGCUAAGGUACCCAAGUGUCCGCUCAUCAGAUACCACAAAAGGCGUUGGUACCUCCAGACAGCAGGACGGUGGCCAUGGAAGUCGGAACCCGCUAAGGAGUGUGUAACAACUCACCUGCCGAAGGUACUAGCCCUGAAAAUGGAUGGCGCUCAAGCGGACCACCGAUGCGCGGCCGCCGGCGCGAGCGCGAGGCGCCGGCGAGUAGGAGGGCGCGGGGCUCGCGGCGCAGCCUUGGGCGCGAGCCUGGGUGAAGCGGGCCCCGGUGCAGAUCUUGGUGGUAGUAGCAAAUAUUCAAAUGAGAACUUUGAAGACUGAAGUGGAGAAAGGUUCCGUGUGAACAGCAGUUGGACACGGGUGAGCCGACCCUAAGAGACAGGAAAACUCCGCCGAACGCGGCUGGUUCUGUCAGCCCGUCCGUCGAAAGGGAAUCGGGUUAAUAUUCCCGAGCCAGCGCGUGGAUGGUGGGCGGCGACGCGAACGAACCCGGAGACGCCGGCGGGAGCCCUGGGAAGAGUUCUCUUUUCUUCUUAACUGCCUCCUGCCCUGGAAUCGGUUUAGCCGGAGCGAGGGCUACACGGCAGGCAAAGCACCCUAAGUCUUGGGGUGUCCGGCGCGCUCCCGACGGCCCGUGAAAAUCCGGGGGAGCGGUUCGUUCUCACGCCUGGUCGUACUCAUAACCGCAUCAGGUCUCCAAGGUGAACAGCCUCUAGUCGAUAGAGCAAUGUAGGUAAGGGAAGUCGGCAAAAUGGUUCCGCAACCUCGGGAGAAGGAAUGGCUCUGAAGGCUGGGCGCAGGGGUCCUAGGCUCGAGGCCGGCUGGCUGCGCGGGGACUACGGCCUCACGGCUGCGGAUCCCGCGCGGCCGUCCGGCGGACGGCCUAGGAGCGCUCCGGCUCUCCCUGCGCGACGAACAGCCGCUUCAGAACUGGCGCGGACAAGGGGAAUCCGACUGUUUAAUUAAAACAAAGCAUUGCGAUGGCCCGCGAGGGUGCUGACGCAAUGUGAUUUCUGCCCAGUGCUCUGAAUGUCAAAGUGAAGAAAUUCAACCAAGCGCGGGUAAACGGCGGGAGUAACUAUGACUCUCUUAAGGUAGCCAAAUGCCUCGUCAUCCAAUUAGUGACGCGCAUGAAUGGAUUCGUGAGAUUCCCACUGUCCCUAUCUACUGUCUAGCGAAACCACAGCCAAGGGAACGGGCUUGGAAGAAUCAGCGGGGAAAGAAGACCCUGUUGAGCUUGACUCUAGUCUGUUACUGUGGAACGACUUGAUGGGUGUAGAAUAUGCGGGAGGGGCAACCCGACAGUGAAAUACCGCAACCGUCAACGUUGUUUUACUUACUCGGUGGCGCGGAGGGAGGCUCGCCUCACUUCUGGAUCCAAGCCGCUUCGUGCGCGCGAUCCGCGUCGGGGACACUAACAGGUGGGGAGUUUGGCUGGGGCGGCACGUCUGUUAAAAAAUAACGCAGGCGCCCGAUUUUGAGCUCAAUGAGAACAGAAAUCUCAUGUGGACCGAAAGGGGAAAAGCUCGGUUGAUUUUGAUUUUCAGUACGAAUACAAACCGCGAAAGCGUGGCCUAUCGAUCCUCUCGUCUUUGGGAAUUUCAAGCUAGAGGUGUCAGAAAAGUUACCACAGGGAUAACUGGCUUGUGGCUGCCAAGCGUUCAUAGCGACGUAGCUUUUUGAUCCUUCGAUGUCGGCUCUUCCUAUCACUGCCUCGCAGCGGGGGCCAAAUGCAGGAUUGUUCACCCACCAACAGGGAACGUGAGCUGGGUUUAGACCGUCGUGAGACAGGUUAGUUUUACCCUACUGCUGUCUGUUUUUCUACGGUAAUUUGGUUCAGUACGAGAGGAACCACCAAUUCGCAUCAUCGGUAUAGCCGCCGCCGGAAACGGCGAUGCGGCGAAGCUGCCAUGCGCCGGAUUAUAACUGAACGCCUCUAAGUUAGAAUCCAUGCCGGAAGGAAAGCCACCUACCGGCCCGGGGACGCCACGAGCAACGGUAGCACUGCCUGAGCCGCGAGCGACCACAAUUCACGGACCCGGGCCGACGAAUCCCUUGCAGACGACUUGAAUAAGGAACGGGGUAUUGUACGCGGCAGAGUGGCCUUGUUGCCACGAUCCGCUGAGAUUCAGCCUUGGUUCUGACGAUUUGU